rnacentral:rRNA from 1 species
UACGUAGGGUGCAAGCGUUAAUCGGAAUUACUGGGCGUAAAGGGCUCGUAGGUGGCCAACUAAGUCAGACGUGAAAUCCCUCGGCUUAACCGGGGAACUGCGUCUGAUACUGGAUGGCUUGAGUUUGGGAGAGGGACGCGGAAUUCCAGGUGUAGCGGUGAAAUGCGCAGAUAUCAGGAGGAACACCGGUGGCGAAGGCGGAUCUCUGGGCCGAUACUGACGCUGAGGAGCGAAAGCGUGGGGAGCGAACAGG